AUUAAAAUAGCAAAAAAGUGCAAUGGAAUUAAACCCCAUCUAUGAGAAAAUUUCUCUUUUAAUA
rnacentral:tRNA from 1 species